CCUUUCUACGGAGUUUUUUCAGGACGCCGGUCUGGCGUCCGUCGUGUGGCCCAUGCGCCGGGGAUGGUUCCCGGGUUCGUGUGGGCGUGCUGGUGUGGAAGAGAUCGUUGGCUUCGCGGGUCCUUGGGGCCGGCGGGGAGUGGUGCGGAUAUGCUUUUGGGUUCCCGGACCGCCACCCGCAUCCGUUUUGGGUGCGUGCGGUUUUCCGGAUGCCCCUGGUGGGACGCCGUCGGCCUUGCGGGCCGCGGGUCGGGUCCGGUCGGGGCGCGUGGUGGUUUGAGAACUGGAUAGUGGACGCGAGCAAUGCGAUGAUGUGAUGUCAUCGUUUGCUUUAUCGCGAUUUCGCCAGGCUUCUUUUUGGAGUCUGGUUUCGAGAUCGAUCGUUUUGUGAUCAUUUUUUUACAGUGUGAUGAUUUGUCGUCUGGCGUUUGAAGCUAUCAUUGGGUUUUUCGGGGCGUG
rnacentral:misc_RNA from 1 species